rnacentral:rRNA from 1 species
UUGGAGGGCAAGUCUGGUGCCAGCAGCCGCGGUAAUUCCAGCUCCAAUAGCGUAUAUUAAAGUUGUUGCAGUUAAAAAGCUCGUAGUAGAAUUUCGGGAUCAAAUUGUCGGUCGUGCCUCGGUACGCACUGGUAUUAUUGGUUCCUACCUUCUGAAGAACCGCGAUGUCAUUAAUUUGGUGUCGUGGGGAAUCAGGACUGUUACUUUGAAAAAAUUAGAGUGUUUAAAGCAGGCUUACGCUUGAAUACAUUAGCAUGGAAUAAUGAAAUAGGACGUUUGAUUCUAUUUUGUUGGUUUCUAGGAUUGACGUAAUGAUUAAUAGGGAUAGUUGGGGGCAUUAGUAUUCAAUUGUCAGAGGUGAAAUUCUUGGAUUUAUUGAAGACUAACUACUGCGAAAGCAUUUGCCAAGGAUGUUUUCAUUAAUCAAGAACGAAAGUUAGGGGAUCGAAGACGAUCAGAUACCGUCGUAGUCUUAACCAUAAACUAUGCCGACUAGGGAUCGGAUGAUGUUAAUUUUUUAAUGACUCAUUCGGCGCCUUACGGGAAAC